GUGCCUAUUCAGCAGCUCAUAUACUAAAAUUGGAAUGAUGCAGAGAAAAUUGCCACGGCCCCUGAGCAAGAAUGAUACACAUAUUCGUGACGUGCUCCAUAUUAAA
rnacentral:snRNA from 1 species